AGUGAACGCUGGCGGUAGGCCUAACACAUGCAAGUCGAACGGCAGCACAGUAAGAGCUUGCUCUUACGGGUGGCGAGUGGCGGACGGGUGAGGAAUACAUCGGAAUCUACUUUUUCGUGGGGGAUAACGUAGGGAAAAUUACGCUAAUACCGCAUACGACCUACGGGUGAAAGCAGGGGAUCUUCGGACCUUGCGCGAUUGAAUGAGCCGAUGUCGGAUUAGCUAGUUGGCGGGGUAAAGGCCCACCAAGGCGACGAUCCGUAGCUGGUAUGAGAGGAUGAUCAGCCACACUGGAACUGAGACACGGUCCAGACUCCUACGGGAGGCAGCAGUGGGGAAUAUUGGACAAUGGGCGCAAGCCUGAUCCAGCCAUACCGCGUGGGUGAAGAAGGCCUUCGGGUUGUAAAGCCCUUUUGUUGGGAAAGAAAAGCAGCAGGUUAAUACCCCGCUGUUCUGACGGUACCCAAAGAAUAAGCACCGGCUAACUUCGUG
rnacentral:rRNA from 1 species